AAUCAAGCUCACAAGUACAUCAGAUCCAUUUACAAGAGUGCCCACUCCAAAAGUGAUGUUACCUCUGGGCUUGCCAUCAGGAAUACUUAUUUGAAACUGCAACAGCACAACCAAAAUUUUAUACUCACUCCUUUAAAAAGAUUCCUAUUUACAUCAAAGAAUCCACCGCAAUUUAUAUUCGAAGGAUUCAUUUCGGUAGCCCGUAAGAACAUAUUGAUUUCUGUUUGUGCAUCAGAAUUCAUCCAGCUCAAUUCCACCAUAAGUAGCUUCUUUUGAAAAUUAGUUCUUACAUUGUGUGAAGCAUAAUGAGCUUCAUCACAAAUAAAGAAUAACAAACAGAUGCUCCAAAUAGCUGUUAUAGCUAAGCCAAUGUCUUUUAUUCCAAAACCCUCUGAUAGCUGAGACAUAAGGCCAUAAAUAGAUAAAGUGAUAAUAAAGAACAAAUAGAGAUUCAAGAAUGUAAAAGUGUAACAAGUUGCUGUUCCAGUAUCUCGAGUAAGCUUACUCAAGCGAAGCCACAAAGAUCUGUAAUCGGCGACCAUUGCUGCAGGUCCAAUGUGUCGAAGAGCCUGGUUAAUAAAAUAAUUUAUUAAGAAUUUGUUAAAGAAAUUAUUUUUAAUUGAACCAGACUUUUUGAAAACGUUCCGCAAGUAUAUUGGCUGUGUCACUUAAAGCUUCGCAUGAUAAAAACCACCAAGCUCCAAGCAUUGCCGUUAAAUUAUCCAAAAUACAAUAAGGUACAACCUAGAAAGUGUCAAAGGAAGUAUUAUAUUCUUUUUGACCGAUAAAAUAGAAAAAUAAAGCAAAACUAGAACAAAAACAAGUCCCUCAAUUCGAUGAGAAUCAACAAGAACGAAUAUUUUCAUUUUUGUAUAAAUCAUUGAAUAUGAAAGAAAUUUUAUAUUUUUUCUACUCUAAAUGGGUAAAUUUAACAUUUUAACUAAAAUAACAGAAUUACCUGCAUUAUAUGAAAGUCAGCCAUAGUGACUGGAACACUAUGGCCAGAUAUUUGAUAAUAAAGAAUCUGAAAUGAAUGUUUAAACAAUAAAGUUUUAGUUUCUCUAUAAAAAAAAAUUAAUUUCACCUCAAAAUCAUUCCAAUCAUUCAAU